rnacentral:rRNA from 1 species
ACGGGUGAGUAACACGUGGAUAACCUACCUAUAAGACUGGGAUAACUUCGGGAAACCGGAGCUAAUACCGGAUAAUAUUUUGAACCGCAUGGUUCAAAAGUGAAAGACGGUCUUGCUGUCACUUAUAGAUGGAUCCGCGCUGCAUUAGCUAGUUGGUAAGGUAACGGCUUACCAAGGCAACGAUGCAUAGCCGACCUGAGAGGGUGAUCGGCACACUGGAACUGAGACACGGUCAG